ACCAGACUCCUACGGGAGGCAGCAGUGGGGGAUAUUGCACAAUGGGGGGAACCCUGAUGCAGCGACGCCGCGUGGGUGAAGGAGCGUUUCGGCGCGUAAAGCCCUAUCGGCAGGGAAGAAGCAAGACGGUACCUGACUAAGAAGCCCCGGCUAACUACGUGCCAGCAGCCGCGGUAAUACGUAGGGGGCGAGCGUUAUCCGGAUUCACUGGGUGUAAAGGGAGCGUAGGCGGCCAUGCAAGCCAGGGGUGAAAGCCCGGGGCCCAACCCCGGGACUGCCCUUGGAACUGCAUGGCUGGAGUGCGGGAGGGGCAGGCGGAAUUCCUGGUGUAGCGGUGAAAUGCGUAGAUAUCAGGAGGAACACCGGUGGCGAAGGCGGCCUGCUGGACUGCGACUGACGUUGAGGCCCGAAAGCGUGGGGAGCAAACAGGAUUAGAUACCCCCGUAC
rnacentral:rRNA from 1 species